rnacentral:rRNA from 1 species
UACGGAGGGAGCUAGCGUUGUUCGGAAUUACUGGGCGUAAAGCGCGCGUAGGCGGCGAUUCAAGUCAGAGGUGAAAGCCCGGGGCUCAACCCCGGAACUGCCUUUGAAACUAGAUUGCUAGAAUCCUGGAGAGGUGAGUGGAAUUCCGAGUGUAGAGGUGAAAUUCGUAGAUAUUCGGAAGAACACCAGUGGCGAAGGCGACUCACUGGACAGGUAUUGACGCUGAGGUGCGAAAGCGUGGGGAGCAAACAGG